rnacentral:rRNA from 1 species
UACGGGGGGGGCAAGCGUUGUUCGGAAUUACUGGGCGUAAAGGGCUCGUAGGUGGCCACUUAAGUCCGACGUGAAAUCCCUCGGCUUAACCGGGGAACUGCGUCUGAUACUGGAUGGCUUGAGUUCGGGAGAGGGAUGCGGAAUUCCAGGUGUAGCGGUGAAAUGCGUAGAUAUCUGGAGGAACACCGGUGGCGAAGGCGGCAUCCUGGACCGACACUGACACUGAGGAGCGAAAGCCAGGGGAGCAAACGGG